rnacentral:rRNA from 1 species
AACGAACGCUGGCGGCGUGCUUAACACAUGCAAGUCGAACGGAAAGGCCCUGCUUUUGUGGGGUGCUCUAGGUGCGAACGGGUGAGUAACCCGUGAGUACCCUGCCCUUGCCUUUGGGAUAACCUCAUGAAACUGGGGCUCAUACCGGAUAAGAGCUCCUGCUGCUUGGUGGGGGUGGGAUAGUUUCGGCGGUUGGGGAUGGACUCGCGGCCCAUCGGCUUGUUGGUUGGGUAGUGGCUUACCAAGGCUUGGACGGGUAGCCGGCCUGAGAGGGGGACCGGCCAUACUGGGACGGGGAUACGGCCCGGACUCCUACGGGAGGCAGCGGUGGAGAAUAGUGCACAAUGGGCGGGAGCCUGAUGCAGCAACGCCGCGUGCGGGAUGACGGCCUGCGGGUUGUGAACCGCUUUCGCCUGUGACGAAGCGUGAGUGACGGUAAUGGGUAAAGAAGCACCGGCUAACUACGUG